CCUAGCCGCCCCGCUCCCCUCCCUCUCCACGGCGCCGCCGCCUCCUCCCCUUCUGCCCUGCUAUCCACCGUGCCGCCUCUUCCUCCUCUUCACUGCCCUCUCCAGCGGCGGCAAAGAACGGCGGCACUCGAUCCGAUCUGCUGAAGAGAAAAGAUGAGAGAGGGAGAGAGACAAGGAAGGAGAGGAGGGAGAAAGAUCUCCCUCAUCGUCCUCGUCGCCAUCUGCCACUCCUCUGCCGUGCCCAGACCGCGGGAAGAAGCCGAGAAGGGAGGCCGGCCGGCGGCGGCCACGCUCGACAAGAUCCUCACAUUAGCCUCAAGGGAGAGGAGGUCUACGUCCCCCGUCCGUGUGAAGGGCGCGAACCAGGGCAGUGGAGGCGCAGGGCGCGAACGAGAGGAGAAGGUUGAGCAUCCCGCCGACGACAUCGUUUCGAGCUCAAGAUGGUCUACAGAUACAUGCAACAAUUGAGGUUUCAUGUGCAAGGAAGCAAAGAAGAUGCGAGACCGUUUUUCUUUUGGAAUAGAAGAAUCAAAGGAUACACCGACCGAGUCAGUCUGAACUUCGAUUAAAUAUGAUAUGCGUGUUUACAAAUCUUUCCUUCAUGAAUAUUUUGAAACCUUCACAUUAUGCUGAUAUGUAUUUUCUGGCAGAGCAGUCUUCAACAUUGACGGUUACCAUUUUUAUUUUUUAUCUCAGCUCGUGAGAUUUCUCUACUGUCCUGACACAAAUUUACUCUAUAUGAUGAAUCCAAGGCUCAGUAUAAGGAUUUCCUGAUUUAUUAUUUGCCGCAUCUGGUGUUUCUCAUCUUAGCAUGAAUUUGAAGUGUCACCUUUUGCAUCCAAGUAAUACUAUUGGUUCACAUUGAUCCUAUCUACCAUGUACCAAAUCACUCACUUUUCUAAAUACUGAUAUGGAAUUAACCUUUGGUUACAACCCUAUUUGGUUUUGAGUUACAAAAUGUCCUUAUUUAAGAUUUUGCUUCUUAACAUGUUGCGUUACCAGCUCAUCCACUGAGGAUUUUGAAAUAUGAUAGUACUCUUCCUCUGUUUUCUUUAUCUUUUAUUUACAAGUUAGUUCUAUUGUGAGGAGAAGCUUUGGAAGUGGUUAAUCAGUUCAGUAAGAUAAUUUGAGGUCGACGAGCAGAUUGAUUGCUCAUAUAUCCACCUUAAGAUGGCCACAACGUAUUUCAGAUUUUAGCACAUUAGCUGCCAUCGUUUUGUGAUUUCAGAAAUAUAUUUCAUGUGCUGGAUGGCCUCACUCUUUUAUUGGGUUGUUUUCAGUUAAAGGUUAGAAGACAUGCCAAAUAAUGGAUACUUCUCAAUCAAAUGAACAAACAUGCUAUCCGCCGAGCUUCAAGACUGAAGGGAUAGAUAACCACAACUUCUAAUGACCUAUACCAGCGAUUGAUUGUAGCAUACUGGAUUCCUAAUGCUGACAGGAAUAGCCGCCAUGGCGAUAUUUACAGGGCCAAUGAUGUGUGCAAGGACGGAAAGAGGCAGUCGAUCAACGCUGAAGACGUCUUCAAGGCGCUCGAUGAGAUCGAGUUCCCAGAGUUUGUAGAUCCCCUGAGGAUUGCACUGUUAGGAGGUUUGGUAGGUUUGAGCAUCUGACUUAUAAUCUAGGUUGAUGGUGUUUGGCAUUAUUGGUUCAAUCCACGUGGAGGUCCUCGCCGUCAUUGCAGCUGCGGGACAAGACGGCAAGGAGUUUGUGCGCCUGCCUUACCUCUGUACAAAAUAAACUGCAGAUACAAAAAAUGAAAAAGCAGAGCACUGUUAUUUCUCCAUACUCUGCAUCCCCAUCUGAGUCACUCUCUCUAGAAGCAGGAAUGAUUAUACUUCAACCGACCAUGCUCAGCCUAGAAUAACACCACAACAUACAGUAGUAGUUAAGCAACAAAACCUAAGCACUUCCCGUCAUUGUUUGCUUUCUCAUGUUUUUGUUUGCUUCAUUGUGUUCCUAUUUACUUGCAUAUAGAAGUGAGCAAAGUCGAAGUGUUUUGGGUGUUACAAAAGAUUGUGAAUAUUUUGCCUUUAUAGCUCUUUUUUUUAUUGACUCAGUUUUUAUGUAAUUUCAAAGCACUUCAGAUGUGUUAGGCUGCAGCAAGAGGCUGGAACAGAUCUUUGUGCUAUGACGAGUGUUUGCUUCAGUCAAUCCAAAAUACCUCUAAAACUACAGUUUCAUUUGUUUGUCCGGUGUACAUGAGAAGCUCCAAUUUUGUCGGCAAUAGCCACUGGAGAAAGUAGUGAUUGGGUUUAUAUGGGAUAGUUAUGUAUGUCCAUUGUGUGAUGGGAAAUACAAUGCAGUAGUUAAUUGUCACAUGGCUUCUCAAUAGUGGCUUCUCAGUAAAAAUGUUAUAUGAUGUAUGAUAGCCAUGAGUAUGAUGAUUUUUUGGAUGGGCGGUAAGCUUCCCAUGUUUGAUGUUUUUUUUACUUUUUAAAAUUGAACGAUGCUGGUGAGAAUAGUACUGUGGUGUACACUUCUAUUUGGUCAUAUAUUUUGUCCUUUUUUGGUUCUCAG